GCAUAUUUGUCUCGCAGAAACAAUGAUGAUGACCUUCUAGAAGAUGAUGCACAGUUCAAAGAUGAAUAUGAACUCAACUUGGAAGAAGAAGAUGCUCUACUGGCACUAAAUGAUGACGAAGUGUCCACAUCUGAGGGUUGUGGUGACAGAAGUGGUGAAGUAGAGUACGUGGACGAAGAUGGAAAUCCGGUAUCUGUUCACGAGGGGCGUUCUCUCGAGGUGGUGGCCGUUCACGAGGGUUAUGGCUACCGAUCCGACGGAGCUGAUAAUGAAGAAGAAGAUAUUUUGGAAGUUGGCAUCGACCCAGAAUUUGAUGCACUUGGGCAAGAAACAGAAGAAUUUGAU